rnacentral:lncRNA from 10 species
CUCAUGAUAGUGAAUAAGUCUCAUGAGAUCUGAUGCGUUUAUCAGGGGUUUCCGCUUUUGUUUCUUCCACAAUUUCUCUUGCCCUGGCCAUGUGAGAAGAGCCUUUUGUCUCCGGCCAUGAUUAUGAGACCUCCCCAGCCAUGUGGAACUGAGGGAGUCAAUGGGAUAAACUGAAGUGACUCAUCAAGAACAUGUAAUAAAACCCUCAAACACAGAUUACAUUAUGAAUAAAAUUAACUGCUGAAAAAGAACGGAAAGCAACAGAUGAUCAUCAAGAAAAGAUGAAAUUUAAGUAAUCAGGUUUGAUGGGUACUUGUUUCUACUUAAAUGUCUGUAUCAUAUUGCACCUGGCCAAGUUCACUGCUAUAUCUGUCCCGGAAGGGGAAAAAACAGAGUCCUUCACUUCUAGUACAAGGGUAAAUUCUUGAUGGGAAAAUUCAAACAGAAAAAGUGAGCAUUGGUGAGUUAAAAGGAUUUCAAACAAGAGUGAAUAAAACAAAGUUCACACCUCUCCAGCUGAAGACAAGGACAAACUAAAGCCUUCCCUUGGCACCUGAAGCAUUCAACCGGACUAAGACGGCCCCUCUCUAGAAUUGUGAACACUUGUUUCUAAAAUAAUACCUACAUGCCAUUCUAGUCCCUUCUAUAGUGUGUAUUUUGCUUUUUCAGUCCAAAACAUGUCAAUGUAUAUGUAUUUUAAAUUACACUGAAUGUAAAAAAAGCAUAGUACUUACGUAGCAGAAUAAAUUAAUUUUGUUCUACGUGUUCUGUAUUUAAGGGACACAUGCCUCAUGUACUUUCAUGGGAAAUGAAAAUUUCAAUGGUGGAUCGUCCUCUAACUCUAUUCUCCAGGAUGGAAAUGUCACUAGUAAUCAACAAUAGGCAGGUGAGACGAAUUUUGGUGGAGAAGUAGAGAAGGCUUGUCCAUUUGCUUGUGUCAAUGACACUACCCUGUAAAAUUUGUGUAAUCCAGAAACCACACUUUUUGUGUGAUUUACAAAAACUGGAUUACAAAAAGCUACAGCAUGAAGAUACUUUGAUUUAUCUUUCUGAAAAACUUACUGUAAGUCCAUUUUUUAAAUUUUACUUCAAAUCACCUACAAAUGACAUUUUUAUUUGUUUACAUCCAGUGGCAGUUAGUCUAUCAUAGUAGUAUUGAGAGGUGACAACGUGCUAGCAGCCCUUGCUCGCUCUCGGCGCCUCCUCUGCCUUGGCGUCCGCUCUCGAGGAGCCCUUCAGCCCACCACUGUGCUGUAGGGGCCCCUCUCUGGAGCUGGCCGAGGCCGGAGCCGGCUCCCCUCUGCUCUCCGAGAGGUGUGGAGGGAAAGGCGCGGGCGGGAGCAGGGGCUGUGCGCCCCGCUCCUACACCGGUGCAGCUUCGGGGUGGGCGCAGGCUCCGAGGGCCAGCACUAGGAGCUGCCAGCCAGCGCCUGCUGGGCUUGAUGGGGGGACGAUCUCCCUCUGGGCUGCUGGAGUGGCCUGGCUAGGUGCCACAAAGUCCCAUGGCGAGUGCCAUUGACAGGCGAAGCCGGCUGGGUUUCUGGGUCUGGUGGGGACCUGGAGAACUUUUGUGUCUAGCUAAAGGUUUGUAAAUGCACCAAUCAGCACUCUGUGUCUAACCAAAGGUUUGUAAAUGCACCAAUCAGCACUCUGUCUCUAGCUAAUCGGGUAGGGGACUUGGAGAACUUUUGUGUCUAGCUAAAGGAUUGUAAAUGCACCAAUCAGCGCUCUGUGUCUAGCUAAAGGUUUGUAAACGCACCAUUCAGUGCUCUGUCAAGACAGACCAAUCAGCUUUCUGUAAAACGGACCAAUUAGCUCUCUGUAAAAUGGACCAAUCAGUAGGAUGUGGGUGGGGCCAGAUAAGGGAAUAAAAACAGGCCGCCCCAGCCAGCAGGGGCAACCUGCUGGGGUCCUCUUUAAUGCAGUGGUAACUUUGUUCUUUCCCUCUUCCCAGUAAAUCUUGUUGCUGCUCACUCUUUGGGUCUGUGCCACCUUUGUAGCUGUAACACUAACCGCUAAGGUCUGUAGCUUCACUCCUGAGGCCAGCUAGACUACAAACCCACUGGGAGGUUGGAACAUCUGGAAGGGAGGAACAUCCGGAAGGGAGGAAGAAACAACUCCAGACUCACCGCCUUUAAGAAUCGUAACACUCACCACAAAGGUCUGCAGCUUCACUCCUGGAGUCAGUGAGAUCACGAACCCAACAGAAGGAACAAACUCCGGACACACCAACUUUAAGAACUGUAACCCUCACCACGAGGGUCUGCUGCUUCAUUCUUGAAGUCAGCAAGACCAAGAACCCACCAAUUCUGGACACAGUAUCCCUUGAUUUAUCAAGAUAUAAUGAAAACCUACAAUGUAACAGGUAAUGUGUAACAUAUUGGUGUUAAAAAGAUGAUAAAAUUAAAAUAUAGUUUCUGUCCUUAGAGAGUUCAUGUCUAAUAGGAGAUAGACAAGCAAAUAAGCUAUUGUAAAUUAAAAAAAAAACUUAUUAUGGUAAAAAUAGAAAUUAUUUGUCUUUAAAAAUGGUGUGUUUAAUACACAAAAACAUUUUAUUAGUUCACCAUAACCUUUACCUCUACCUAUGUUUGAGCUCGAGUUGUCUAGAUUCAUCUAGGCUCUUAUAGGUAGCUUACUGCCUCAUAAAUUUCAAACUAUCUUUAGUUCUUUGGUACACGCAGUCAAUUCAAACCACAGACCUUCUUCACAUAAAAGUCAGAUUGAUUACUUGAUAUUCCAUGCUCAUCCUAAAAGGAAUUAUGCUCACUGACCUUGAUAUACUCACUGACCUUGUUUGACUACACUUUUCGACAGAUUGGCUGUUCUGGUUCUAUAUAGGGAAGGAUUGUAUAGGCAAUGAAUGAGAAGAAUUUCAUAAAUUUAUAUCUUUCCAGGUAAAGUUGUGAAUAAUACAAUUUAUCAAUUUCAAAAAAUGGAAAAGAAAAAUGAGGAGGGAAUUUACAUGCAUAUGAAAACAGAGAUAUGUGAGGUUGAAGGAAAAUAAAAGUUUAAAAUAGAUCAGAAAUAUUUGGAUUUUUAACAUUAAAAUUCGAGUACGUUUUCAUAGCGAGCUUGCUCUGCUCCUUCAUGAAUAUACAUGUAACUAAAACCAACACUCCUAAAAUCUUACGAGAAUUAAGAAACCAAUUAAAAAACAAAACAUUAAAAGAGAGGACUAUUUGGAAACAACUAAAUCGGAGAGGCAGGCAAUUAAUAGUUUGAAUAACAAAGGGAAACUAGCAAAAAGUCAAUUAGAAGUUAAAUACAUGAAAUUUUAAAUCACUUAAACAAAAGCUAACUUCUAAUUUUGUUGCAGGCAAGUCAUUGACUUUUAAAAAAUAUACUUGAAAAGUAUGUAACCAUUAUGCUACUUCAUAUUCCUAAUAAACAACGUGAGGGGGAACUGUUUUCUGCUUUCAGUCAGCUUCUAAAAGGAUCAAAAUAUUUUUACCACUCAUAUGUAAGCUCUAUCUCCACAGAGAAUCUUGUGUUUUAUUCAUCAUGGUAGCCAAGGUUUGGUUCAAUUGCUGUCAUUCCAUUUUAACACAUGCUAGGCAUUGAAAUAUAUGAUUAGAAUUAGCAUUGACUGAGUCUUUGGCAAGAUUAUUCAUUGAAAUGCCCCUUUAUGUUUCAUUCGCACUGCUUCAGAUAAUUAGAAGGAAAAUGUGAAAAGAAUUAAGAGUCAAACUGGUUUUAGCUUCUUACGUGGCUCCUCCACUUAUUUCAAAGGAAAAGCUUGGUGUUAUGCAUGACAACUGGCGCAUCCCUCGUCCUUAAUGUAGAAUUAGGUGUCUUUAGGUGAAAAAACCAAAGAAUUUAGGAAAAACUUACUUUUUUUGUAAUAAGAAAGUGAUUCUAGGUCUUGAAGACUAAAAAAAGGGUGACCAAAAUCAUCAGAAUGUGAAACAGCUUCCCUCAAGAUUGGAAAAUUUUCCAUCAAUAUAGGGAAUGACAGGAUUUAGGAUCUGAAUAGAAGCAAAAACCCUUGCCUAUGUCCCAGUAAGUGGCGACAGUAGCAAAAUCUUACAUGGAAGAGUUGGGGGUUGUUGUACACUGAAGAAUAAAUUCAAGAAGUCAGGGCUUUUUAGCCCUAGCAAAUUGAAAUCCCCACCAUUCUGGCCAUAUUAUAGGAGGAGAAGUUAAACUGAGUUUAGAAAAUGAAAAAUGAUCUCAGCGAAGUCACCAGUAAAAGAGGAGUCUUCACUGGCCACACUUACUAGGUUAAUUAAUUCCCAGUAUUAUCUGAUCUCAUAGCACCACACCUUUACAACAAUUAUCAGAGUUAAUACUUUAUAUUUAUUUGCUAGGUUUGCUGUUAAGAAUGUAAUCUCCAACAGCAGAUGUCAUGCCUAGUUUUUCACCCUCUUCUAGACUAAAAAAGUCCCAUACUAAAAGUAAAGUUGGUGAAUGAAUUAAUGUGCACUCUAUUGCAUACUCAAGCCUACCACAAGUCAUAUAUGGAAAAAAAAACCUCUUGAAAGUAAUUUAUAAAGAAACUGAUACUAGAUAUAUGAAUUAGACACAAUGUUUGAAUUAUCAAAUUGAGAUAAAACAUUCGAAAGAAAAGUGAUAUAUAGAAAUGUCUUUCAUAGGAAAGCCAUAAGUUGCUACGGUCCAUAAUGCUGAUGUCCUUCAGAUAUAAAAUUGGCCCUUCCAAAUAGGCAGUAAGAUGUUUGCCACCAUUGGUGUUACCGAUUAUUUUAAAGCUCAAAAUACAAAUGACUAGAAUGUAUUUAUUUGUUUGUUUAUUUUUCUACUUCAGUGAGUGUAAUAUGUAGUUUACAACAAAUUGAAUAUCAAAUACUAGGAUAGUAUUAACCUCUUAAAACUGCAGGAUGCAGGGUAAUUCAGUAAAUUAAGGCACAUUAAGAAAACGUAGUAUAUGAUGUAAAUUAUAAGAGAUUGAGAAAGUCACCCAGACAAUGUAAAAGUUCUUGCCCUACUCACUCAUACAAAUAAUUAUUUUGCCAAGUUCUUAGCAAAAUACACUAGGUGUCUCAUGACAGAAACAAAGUGUCUAUGGUAAUACAAUUUGAGUUUCUGUGGCAGUGAGUGAGAAUGAAUGUGCUUACAAUUAUUGGUUUUAUAUGUAUAUAUAUAUGCAUAUUAUAUAUGCAUAUAACAUAUAUAAUUUUAUCCAGUUAUUGGUUAUCUAUGUAUCAUUUAUGUAAUGUGAAUUUCAUUUGUUCAGCCGGACUGUUUUAAACCAUAAUGCUAAAUAAAUAUGUGAAUAUUAUCAAUUUACUCAGCCUCCCAAUGCUUCAGUUUUCUUACUUCUACAAUAGACAUAAUAAUGAUAUUUCAAAUAAAACAUGGUUCUGAGGAGCAAACAAAGUGUAAUAAAUAUAAAGUUAUUAUAUAGUAUAUAAUUAUACUUAUAUGUAUAGUUUAGCAUAGUUUUUGACACAUAGAAAGUGAAGAAAUGAUAGACAGUAGUAAUAAUAGUAAGUAAUUAGUAAUCUGUUAAGUUGCAGGGCUUUUUCUUUUGUAUUUAAAAUAACUAUUUGAAUGUAAACUUAUUGCUAAAUCUAAUGCCAGCUGUUGUGUAUACUCUCUUAGUUUGACUAUGUUUAAUUUAUAGAGAUUUGAUGUUGCUGCAUUAUUGUUUUCUAUGUAUUUAAUUUGAUUACCUGAGACUUGAGAAAGUUAUUCUUUUAUCCAUUUAAUAAAUCGUCUAUUUUAUAUUCUAUGUUCUGAAGGAAAAACUGACAUUUAGUUAGAAAACUGAUGGAUGGGGUUAGAAAAUACAGGGAUAUUCAAAAGCAUGUUUUUUCCUGCUGUGCCAGAGGGAAUCUUUGGAAAUAUCUUUUCCUGUGGUGCUAUGAACAUUCUUUGAAUAUUUGAGAAAAUGCUCUGGUUCUCAAGUUUCAUAAAAUGUAUGAAAAUAAAAACAAGAAAUCCUAUCUAGCAAAUGAUUAAAG